UCUGAAUGGAGCUUCACAGAGAGAUGCUCCACCAGAGCAGAUGUCUGUAAACAGGAGCAGGGCUCACACAUACUCCAGGGAACCUCUAGAUGGAUAAGGGGAACAGACAGACACACUACUCCAGGGCUCAGGUGAAUAACAGCAAGAAUGAUCCAUGCAGGAAGGAAUCUCAGUAGAAUCAUGGUUUCAGAGCCAGAGGAACUGCUGCAGGUCAGAGAGCUUUGAUACCUGUGAUCACUUGUAUGCCAGCAGCACUGAGCAGCUCUCCCUCUUUGGACAAAUUAAAUACAACUCUUAAUCUAA